rnacentral:lncRNA from 1 species
AUCCUCUCGAACACGUCCAUGUAUAGCUACAUCACAAAAUAACAUCAGACUUUUCGGGAGGGAAACAGUAGAUGGUGGUUGGAAGAGCCAGUUAAAUGGCAUCCCUUGAGAGGACAAGAACAAGAUGUAUGUCAGGAUGAAAAGUGCAGUAUUAUCACAAGGAAAGGUAUACUUGAAAUACGGGGGAGGAUUAGAGGGAAAAAGAGAGGAAGAUGAGGUCUAGGAGAGAGAAGGAGGAAAAGGGUGUUUGAGUCGGUUAGAAAUGGUGGACGGGAAAAAAAGAUGGUUUGUUUGUUAAAGAAGAAUGGUAGAAAGUGUAAGCAGAGUGAGCUGUACGCCGUAUAGAAGACAGGAGGAGAAAUGGAAGUGAAUGAGGGCGAAGUAUCGGAGGUGGUAGGUGCGAUAAAGUCAUCGGAGAUCGAUGUAUGCACCGAGGAUCAGGAUGAAGAAGAAUCUGUGACAGUAGGAGUGAAGUUUAUGGAGAAAGUGAACUCUUGCCUUUUGGCUGAUCCAUUUGUGGUUUCACGAGGAAGAAUACGCUUGAAGUAAAACGAAUGGGGAUACAGAGAGCCUGUCUGCAGAUGAAGAGGUCUCAGUGAAUGUCCCUGGAGAGUAAGGCAGGUGGAGCUGAACACUGUUUGAAUCCAGGUGAUUUCGUGGUGGUGAAAGACUUUAGGAGAAAGAGUUGGAAGGAACCCCGGUGGAGAGGCCCG